rnacentral:rRNA from 1 species
UACGAAGGGGGCUAGCGUUGUUCGGAUUCAUUGGGCGUAAAGGGUGCGUAGGCGGCGCGGUAAGUCGGGUGUGAAAUCUCGGGGCUUAACUCCGAAACUGCAUUCGAUACUGCCGUGCUUGAGGACUGGAGAGGAGACUGGAAUUUACGGUGUAGCGGUGAAAUGUGUAGAGAUCGGGAGGAACACCGGUGGCGAAGGCGGGUCUCUGGGCAAUUCCUGACGCUGAGGCGCGAAAGCGUGGGGAGCAAACGGG